UAGGGAAUCUUCCGCAAUGGACGCAAGUCUGACGGAGCAACGCCGCGUGAGUGAAGAAGGAUUUCGGUUCGUAAAACUCUGUUGUUAGAGAAGAACAGCGCAUAGAGUAACUGUUAUGCGUGUGACGGUAUCUAACCAGAAAGCCACGGCUAACUACGUGCCAGCAGCCGCGGUAAUACGUAGGUGGCAAGCGUUGUCCGGAUUUAUUGGGCGUAAAGCGAGCGCAGGCGGUCAAUUAAGUCUGAUGUGAAAGCCCCCGGCUCAACCGGGGAGGGUCAUUGGAAACUGGUUUACUUGAGUGCAGAAGAGGAGAGUGGAAUUCCAUGUGUAGCGGUGAAAUGCGUAGAUAUAUGGAGGAACACCAGUGGCGAAGGCGACUCUCUGGUCUGUAACUGACGCUGAGGUUCGAAAGCGUGGGUAGCAAACAGG
rnacentral:rRNA from 1 species